rnacentral:misc_RNA from 1 species
AUGAAGAUAGUUCAUUCCCCUAGCGAUAUCAAGAGAAAAUCUCCAAAUUUUGGAUGGAGAAAGACGCCCCUUCUUCUGAAGAUAACUUGCGAAGUCACCCUGGAAUACACAUAUUUUACAGUUCAAAUUAAGAUUAAAAUCCAUUCAAUCAAGGUAAUUCUUUUGAUAAAGCAUUUCCCUUGCAUAACUGGACCAAGAAAGAAACUAUUCUAAAAGACACCUAUUAUAGACCAAAUUCAACAAAAUGAAUGCAGAUUAUGCCUUUUAUAGGAAAUUUAAAAUACAAACGAACAUACAUUUCAAAAACAAUGGGACUGAAAGCCUUGCCUUAAUUAAAGAUAUGAAAAAUUAAUAAGUCCAAUAUAUCAUCCAGUCAUAAAUUUCUUCAAGAUAUUUUUCACCGCUGCAUACACAAUUCAAUUAAACUAUAUUUGCCAAAAUAUCAUAAAGUUUGAAGCUAAAUACAAGAAGACCAAGAAAAAAAAGAGGGGAAUGCUUAAUUUUCUGAACAAAUAAUCAAGCAAAAUUUUUUCAGAUGAUGAAUACAAAUUACAAAGUGAUCAUGCAAUCAAGAAAUUCUUCUUUUAAGCAGUUUUAUACAAUGAUUAUAUUUCUACUAAGGCAAAUAAAAAGAAUUUUUUUUUAAAUUUUAUUUAAUUAUUAUUGCG